rnacentral:tRNA from 1 species
GCUCCUGUAGUUAAACUGGAUAUAACGGCGGAUUCCGAUUCCGCUAUUCCGGGUUCGAGUCCUGGCAGGAGCA